rnacentral:rRNA from 1 species
GACGAACGCUGGCGGCGUGCCUAAUACAUGCAAGUAGAACGCUGAAGAGAGGAGCUUGCUCUUCUUGGAUGAGUUGCGAACGGGUGAGUAACGCGUAGGUAACCUGCCUUGUAGCGGGGGAUAACUAUUGGAAACGAUAGCUAAUACCGCAUAACAAUGGAUGACACAUGUCAUUUAUUUGAAAGGGGCAAUUGCUCCACUACAAGAUGGACCUGCGUUGUAUUAGCUAGUAGGUGAGGUAACGGCUCACCUAGGCGACGAUACAUAGCCGACCUGAGAGGGUGAUCGGCCACACUGGGACUGAGACACGGCCCAGACUCCUACGGGAGGCAGCAGUAGGGAAUCUUCGGCAAUGGGGGCAACCCUGACCGAGCAACGCCGCGUGAGUGAAGAAGGUUUUCGGAUCCUAAAGCUCUGUUGUAAGUCAAGAACGAGUGUGAGAGUGGAAAGUUCACACUGGGACGGUAGCUUACCAGAAAGGGACGGCUAACUACGUGCCAGCAGCCGCGGUAAUACGUAGGUCCCGAGCGUUGUCCGGAUUUAUUGGGCGUUAAACGAGCGCAAGCGGUUUGAUAAGUCUGAAGUUAAGGCUGUGGCUCUUCAUAGUUCGCUUUGGAAACUGUCAAACUUGAGUGCAGAAGGGGAGAGUGGAAUUCCAUGUGUAGCGGUGAAAUGCGUAGAUAUAUGGAGGAACACCGGUGGCGAAAGCGGCUCUCUGGUCUGUAACUGACGCUGAGGCUCGAAAGCGUGGGGAGCGAACAGGAUUAGAUACCCUGGUAGUCCACGCCGUAAACGAUGAGUGCUAGGUGUUGGAUCCUUUCCGGGAUUCAGUGCCGCAGCUAACGCAUUAAGCACUCCGCCUGGGGAGUACGACCGCAAGGUUGAAACUCAAAGGAAUUGACGGGGGCCCGCACAAGCGGUGGAGCAUGUGGUUUAAUUCGAAGCAACGCGAAGACCCUUACCAGGUCUUGACAUCCCGAUGCUAUUUCUAGAGAUAGAAAGUUACUUCGGUACAUCGGUGACAGGUGGUGCAUGGUUGUCGUCAGCUCGUGUCGUGAGAUGUUGGGUUAAGUCCCGCAACGAGCGCAACCCCUAUUGUUAGUUGCCAUCAUUCAGUUGGGCACUCUAGCGAGACUGCCGGUAAUAAACCGGAGGAAGGUGGGGAUGACGUCAAAUCAUCAUGCCCCUUAUGACCUGGGCUACACACGUGCUACAAUGGUUGGUACAACGAGUUGCGAGUCGGUGACGGCAAGCUAAUCUCUUAAAGCCAAUCUCAGUUCGGAUUGUAGGCUGCAACUCGCCUACAUGAAGUCGGAAUCGCUAGUAAUCGCGGAUCAGCACGCCGCGGUGAAUACGUUCCCGGGCCU